rnacentral:rRNA from 1 species
AUUGAACGCUGGCGGCAUGCCUUACACAUGCAAGUCGAACGGCAGCACGGGGCAACCUGGUGGCGAGUGGCGAACGGGUGAGUAAUGCAUCGGAACGUACCUUUCAGUGGGGGAUAACGUAGCGAAAGUUACGCUAAUACCGCAUAUUCUGUGAGCAGGAAAGCAGGGGAUCGCAAGACCUUGCGCUGAUUGAGCGGCCGAUGUCAGAUUAGCUAGUUGGUGAGGUAAAGGCUCACCAAGGCGACGAUCUGUAGCGGGUCUGAGAGGAUGAUCCGCCACACUGGAACUGAGACACGGUCCAGACUCCUACGGGAGGCAGCAGUGGGGAAUUUUGGACAAUGGGGGCAACCCUGAUCCAGCCAUGCCGCGUGAGUGAAGAAGGCCAUCGGGUUGUAAAGCUCUUUCAGCCGGGAAGAAAUCGCACGGGCUAAUACCCUGUGUGGAUGACGGUACCGGAAUAAGAAGCACCGGCUAACUACGUGCCAGCCGCCGCAGUAAGAC